GGUUUUCUCUUUUCAUUCGCGAGAUAUGAGGUUCUAAACCUUGAAAAAUUGGCUUUUAGCGAAAAAUUGUCGCGCCCGAGAAAAAAACGGAAAAGGGUCUGGGGCGAGAGCCGUGUGACGUAGCUUAAGGGACGGAAGUUCGAAUUCACAUGUGAAGGAGUACUAAAAAGCUAUUGGGAAAACAUAUAUUUUCCAGCACUCAUGGUUCUCAAUGUGACUCAGAAUACAAUUAUAUUCCUGGGUAUAUAUACAGGAUGAAUCAAAUGAUACCAGUCACGAAAUUGGAACUCUAGAAGCAGUUGACAGCGAAAUUUUAGGCGAUUAUGAUGCAUAUUGCCUUUAUGCCGGUGGAGCCGCUAGCAAGCCAAGAAUGCUACGCGCAACAUCUAAAAC